CAGGGUCUUGAGACACAUGCUAACUCGCAAACUAGAGAGCUAGCGACCUAAACGGUAGCCUCCAAGUUAUUUCAUCAUCUGAAAUAUAAUAUUAUAAGCCAAAAUACUAAUUAUGUAAAUAGGAGAAUAAAUAAAAACAGUAGUAAAUUAUAAUAACACAAUAAUCAACAUCAUACAUUUUUGGCACCCCCUGGAGGCCACAGCCCCCCUAGCAUCUGCCUAUCCGGCCUAAUGGACGAUCUCCGUGGCAUACGUGGUACUACACGCAGCUCAUCCUCCUCAAUGUAACCGCUUCCAUCGUUGUCCAGAACGCCAAAAACCUUCCUCACAUCCUGGGGACUCUUCUUGGUGAGGCCACAGUCCUGGAAGAACUUUUUUGGGCAGAAGGAGUCCGGUGCUGUAUGGGAUCAAUAACAGCUUGUAUCAACACACACGUGCAUUACCAAGCCGUUUUUAUUAUUGUCGGAGUGUCCCCGAAUGCAUCCCUCGUUCUUGGAACAAGAAUGGGAAGUGUGUUCCCAGACGAACGGACAUGAGACGUGUGCUGCAUGCUGCUGCUGCGUGUUCUUACUUGAGCUCAUCCUCCUCAAUGAAACCGCUCUUGUCCUGAUCAAUGAUAGCGAAAGCCUUCUUCAAGUCAUCGACAGACUUUUGGGCCAGGCCGCAGGCACUGAAGAACUUCUUGUGGUCGAACGAUCCGGCGUCUGCAUUGAGAGAUGCCAGCACACGUUACAUUUGGGUAAGAAGAAACAUAAUAAUGAAAGUUUGGCCGUGAUUUGUGUCACCUUUGCAUGCAUCCAGGGCUGCAGCGACCUCAGCAUCCUGCAGUAAACCCGAGAAGGCCAUUGUGAUCUGCUGGAUUGAAAUAGAAGCUUUUUUUUGUUAUCAUAUAUCGCUAGUCAUCCUGAUAAGAAGAAACUGUGCAAAAACAUGCUUGUUAAAAGCUAUUUUAGUCAAAUGGACUUGUGAAUGACAGGUCCCAUGUGAGCGUGUAACUUUAUAGGAGACAAGAGCGCCAUGUCUUCUUCAAGCAGCUGACGCUGAUCCUUCCAGUACAGCAGUGCAGGAGGCUUACGGAUGAUGCGGGACAGGAGUCGGGGAGUCGACUGCAGUGAUCGCCCGGGUGUCACCGGUGACCUUUUAUAGUUUCACCCCAUCGAAAUCUGAGGCAUUGGAUAAUUGACACCGCUCAGAUGAUGGAGGUGGGUGGGUGGUGGGUGGUGGCUUUCAAACAUUUGUCCCUUAGCCAGAGAGCGCUCUAUUUUUAAAGUUUCACAAACGAAGACGCUUAAAAGGUGCGUUUGAAGAAGUCCUCCCCGUGCUAAGAAUAGUGGCGCUCCAAGGCUGCGGAGGACGAAUUGGAAGUGGUGCUGGCAACACACGGCCAUAUUCAACCAGGUGGGGUUACUUUCAGUUACUUUUAGGAUGACUAAUUUUACUUAUUGUCACUUUGCUUGCAUUUUAUGUUUAAACCUAUGCAAGGGCAAAAAAACAACAUUCUAGGUCAUCAGAACUUGACAUUGCACUAUAUUCUCAACCUAUUGGUGGCGCUAGUGUCCAUGAUGUGGCUUUAAGUAGUCAGCUGUCACUUUUAGCGCUAACAAGCCCUCCAAAAAAGAGUUUGAACUUGAUAGGGCUUGAGCUUGACUGAUGAGCUUUACUGCUGCCCUUUGACCCUUUGUUCCCCAAAGGGGGGUGGGGGUGUAUGUCACACAAUUUGAGUAAAAGGGAAAAAUAUGCAGGCUUAACUUAGACGGCCUGCUGCUGUUCAUAGCUGAGAGUAUGUGGAAGUGUUCGUUAGCUAGCUGUUGCAAAUCUCCAUGCAUCCUCGGAGUCUUGGAGCCGAGCCCGCUAGUGUGUGCCAGCUCCUGGCUUAAAGCCAUGUGAGCAACCCCCCCAUUCCCAUUCCCCCAUCUUGCACAAACCCAUUAUGAAAACAGUUGAUCUUGUAUUGAAAUUCCCAUUACCAUUCCAAUGACAUCACUAGUACUCAUGCAGUGUGUGUGUUGUGUAUGUCAAAGCAAAAAGCCUCCAGUUUGACUUUUACACCAAAAGAGUAUUUAUUCCUGGUUUUUCACUCUGCCUCAAUAAAAAAGUGCAGAUGGGUGUACAACUUGCACAAGUUUCAGAACAUCAAACACAUGUGAAUAGCAACAGGUUAAAAUAUGUGCUCCAUGUUGAGAAAUAGUCCGCAGGCAACUCAUAAAUAAGGUAUAAAAAAUAUUCUUUCAGCUGAUGAUACUGUGAAUCCUGCAAAGGGGUUUUUUCGCAGUUCCAUGAAAUCAAGAGGGUCUUGGUCAGUGGGGAAUUUAUGCCUUAACAAGGGCGGCAAACUCUGAAAGUAGAAUGAAACUAAUAUUAGUACAGUUUUUUUUGGCUAUUAUCAUUAGCAUUUUCUGCGUUGGCUAUGUAGUUAGGAUUGUGUAAAUGGAUCCGAUGUUUAUAUUUUUUAAACUUUAUCUUGUACUUAGGAUUGUUUGGCCUCUGCAAGUGUUGAAGUUAUGGCAACAAGUCUUACCCUCAACUCCAAUCUUGCCAUCACCAUCGCUGUCACCGGCGGCGAGGAAGGCCUUGGUCUCUUUGUCAGUGAGUGCUCUGGCAGAGGCAGAGAAGUUCUGCAGGAACAGCCUUGAAAAUUGGACAAAAAUAAUUAUUACUUUGGGGAAAAAAAAGGAUAUAACAUUAAAAAAUAUAUAUAUUAUAAUAUUUAUAUAAAACAAAUUGGUACCAAAAAUUUAAACGAUAUACUACUUGUGUUUUACAGAAUUAAUUGCAUUAUUUUAUAUAGGCUCUGGAGUGAAUCACUCACUUUUUGUAUUUAAAUUUAAUUGAAUUGAUUGAAUUAUUAAUAUUCAUUUCAGAAUGAGGUCCUAUACAAAAUAUAUUUUGAAGUACAUAGCAAGCCUAAUUUACUUUAUUACUUAUUUUUAAAAGCAAUACUAUUAUAUUCAUCAGUAUAAUAUACUUUUUAUCAUUAUUUCCUUGUGAUGUCUAGUUAAGUUAAGUUACCAAAUAUGGCUGCAUUUGUUCUGUAAAGUUGCUACUAAUUAAUUUUUAAACAUGCAUAACAUUGUAGCUAAAUUAAGCUUUUUAAAUGUAAUUAUUUUCACAAUAUAUUGUUUCAAUGGCAAAGUAAAAAAAUAAAUAAAAUGCAAUGUUUUUGUUGCUUUUGGCCUAUAAAAGAUCCACAGAUAUGACAAUUAAAAAAAACACAAUAAUUACAGUAAAAUCCGGUUAUUUAAAUGUAAUUAUUUUAGAUUAUUAAACUUUAUUUAUAAUUAUUUUUAAGAGUGCUGCAUGGAUGCAUGUCUUACUUGAGCUCUUCCUCCUCAAUGAAGCCACUGUUGUCCUGAUCAAUGAUCUGGAAGGCCUUCUUGACGUCAUCAGCAGACUUGCUGGCCAGACCGCAUGCCUUGAAGAAGCUCUUGUAGUUGAAAGAGUCGGCGGCUGCAAAGGAAGGACAUUUGAAAGAAAUGGUUAGCAGAGUUGCAUGAGAAUAAUGCAAAUCCUCAAUACAUGGUGAUGUGUUUUAGCCCCAAAAACAGGAAGAAAUCUCACCUGCGCAGCCAUCCAGAGCUGCUUUCAUCUCAGCAUCAUUGAGGACACCAGCGAAGGCCAUUUUUUCUUAUUCUUAGGAAGGGAAAAAACAAGUUAGGAUUAGUGGUAAAUGGCAAUAACAUUUACAGCUUGAAGCUAGAUUAUUGUAGACAUAACUGGAAACAUGGUGCUUAAACUAACCGGGAGUUACAUACUGUAUAGCUAGUACAAAUGAAUUAGUCCAUGCUUUAUCACUCUAAGCAGCACUAGUGAUCAUAUAUGUAUUUUGGUUUCCAUAACAACACAGUGACAAAGUAGUGAUUGCUGAGAUUGUCUAGCAGUAUCCAAUAUUUCAAUACAGCACAAAUGAUCAUCCACAAAUCCUCUGGGAGUCCUGUGAUCCACACUGCUGCCUCCAUGCCUAUGAUAGUAGUCCAGGGUGUAGUGUCCUUGUAAGGGUCCUUGUUUUUGAGUCGCCGGUGCGGGUAGUGCGCACUCACCUUUGCGCUGCGUUGAGGCGAGUGAAAACCAAGGCUGACUCGAAGUGAAUGCCCCAAGUCGCCUUUGCCCGUCUCUUAUAUAUCCUUGAGCAACACCUUUUACAGAGCUUUGGGGUCUCGGUAUCAGGUGCCAAGAUGCGCAGCUUUCGAAAAAAUGUGUCUACUAGUCGAGUCUAUUUUUAGAGCAACAAACGAGGAUGCAACCAUGUGCUUAGUGGGCCUAUAGUCGUAGCCGUAACCUGAGCACAGCACACCCGGCUGCUUCACAAAACACAUAUGUCCUGUCAAUAUAAUUAGAAAAAGAUUGAAUAAAUCUUCAUCCUGAUGAAUGUGAGGCACACACACGCUCAUACAGCGGUGUCAAAAAAAACAAAACAAAACUAGGCCUUGAGGUGUAUUUCCCGGUUGUGGGCCAAUCAGAUUGUUGCAGUCGAUUUUCAAUGAAGGCCAAUAAGAUCCAAGUGUUUAUUAGUGUGAUAAUGACUUCUAUCUUUAUAUUUCAACACGCUCAUUGACACAUUUAUGUUAGGCUCUGCACUGCUGUGCAAAGGUCCUAAGACAACAUUAGACCCUAUUAAAGCUUUACUUAUCUAGUUCAUCAUGUUAGCAGUGUCCUGUAUUAGUAAGCCACCAACAAAUACAAUCAAAUACUACAGUACCACAACUAAUAGGUUUAGUUGUUGUGUGUUGUAAUUGUCACAUGCUCAUAUUUAAGGAUUUAAGGUAAAAGAUUUAAGGCAGAUAAUAAAUAACAAAAUUUGUAAAAAAAAAUAAUAAAAAAAAUCAUGAGAACUUGAUGAAUAUGGAAAAAAAAUAAACAUGAAAAAUGAGGCAAUAAAUAAAUUAUAUAGAUAAAUAAAUAUAAAACAACACAAUAAUUAAAGAUAAAGAAUAAAUAAAGAAUAAGGCAAACAUGUUGUGAAAAUAAAGAACGGAAUGACUAAAUAAAUAGAUAAAUUAAAAAAGGGACAUAAAAACUAAUGUAAUGUAGUUAAAUUAAGGUGAAACAUAAAUAAAAUAUAGAAUAAUAGAAUAAUAUAGAAUGAGGAAAUAAAGGUUAAGAAAAAGUCAAAUGAAGCUUUAAAACCAGCUAAACAACUAAAUAAUUCAAUAAAUAAAUUAUGAGAUGGUAAUUGAAAGGUAAUUAUAUUGGUUAAAAUAUGAAAGAAAAAUAAGGCAAUAAAUUAUGUUUCAGUAAAAAAAAGGAAAUUAAGGGAAAAAUAGCGACAUAAAUAAAUGAAUGAAGUUGAAUCUAUG